rnacentral:rRNA from 1 species
CCCUUAGAUGUCCGGGGCCGCACGCGCGCUACACUGAAGGAAUCAGCGUGGCUUUCUCCCUGACCCGAAAGGGUUGGGAAACCCGUUGAAUCUCCUUCGUGAUAGGGAUUGGGGCUUGAAAUUGUUCCCCAUGAACGAGGAAUUCCCAGUAAGCGCGAGUCAUAAGCUCGCGUUGAUUACGUCCCUGCCCUUUGUACACACCGCCCGUCGCUGCUACCGAUUGAACGGUUUAGUGAGGGCCUCGGAUUGGUCUCGGCCCGCUCUUUACCGGGCGGCGCCGUUGGUCGAGAAGACGCUCGAACUUGAUCGUUUAGAGGAAGUAAAAGUCGUAACA